rnacentral:lncRNA from 1 species
CUUACCAUACUGAAUAUGUGUCUAUAUCUGUGUGUGUGUGUGUGUGUGUGUGUGUGUGUGUGUGUGUAGCUGAUUCAGGUGGGCUGUAAUUACAGUAAUGGAUCUACAGGGCAGUUGUCGGGGGGGUGUGUGUUCCUGCAGUUCAUGGGUUCUUUGGGACGAGUGUUUGGAUCCAUACAGGACUCGGGUCACUCUCUCCGUUCUCAGGCGGUGGUUCUGGCGUCCUGUGGUUCCGCGGUGCUCCUGCUGCAGGUCCUGCUGUUCCGGAACCGCCGGCCGGUGGGCGGAGAGAGGGAGAGAGGGAGGGAUGGAGAGAGGGAGAGAAAGAAGGAGGAAUAGAGGUGAAAAAAUAAAGUGUUAAUUAGAGAACAGGUUACAGAUCCAGACUGUAUAAAACCUGAACUGCAGUUUCCGCCUUCAGCCGCCAGGGGGCUCCACUCUCCAUAUAAACACCCACUGAGCCCCGGAGUCCUGCACACUUCUACACCAACUCUACUCAACUCAAUUCAGUUCAUAUUGAUCCACUUUAGUUCGUUUUGGUCCAGUUUAGUUCACAUUCAUUUGAUCCAGUUCUGAUUAUUUAAUUUCAGUUUAAUUCAGUUCAGUUCACAUUGAUCCAGUUUAGUUCGUUUUGGUCCAGUUUAGUUCAUAUUUAUUCAGUUUAGUUCUGUUUAUUUCAGUUCAGUUUAUUUUGAUCCUGUUUAGUUCCCUUGAUUUUAAUCAAUUUCAGUUCACAUUGAUCCAGUUUAUUUCACUUCAGUUUAAUUAGUUCAGUUCAUAUUGAUCCAACUUAGUUCGCUUAAGUUUAAUUAAAUUCAAUUCAGGUUAUUUAAUUUAAUUUCAGCUCAUUGUAUAUCACUUUAUUUAAUUCCAGUUCAGUUCAUUUUGAUCCAGUUUAGUUCAUUUCAGUUUAAUUCAGUUCUUUUUUAUUCAGUUUAGUUCACAUUCAUUUGAUCCAGUUCAGUUCUGAUUAUUUCAUUUCAGUUUAAUUAGUUCAGUUCAUAUUGAUCCAGUUUAGUUUGCUUGAGUUGAAUUAAAUUAAAUUCAGGUUAUUUAAUUUAAUUUCAGCUCCUUUUAUUUCACUUUAUUUAAUUCAGUUUAGUUAAUUUUGAUCCAAUUUAGUUCACUUCAGUUUGUUUCAGUUAAAUUCAGCUCAUUUCACUUGAAUUUAGUUCAAUUCAGGUUAUUUAACUUAAUUUCAUCUCAUUUCGUUUCAGUUAAAUUCAGUUCAGUUGGCUUAAUUAGCAUGAAUAAGUCAACAACAACGUGUCUAAAAUACAAAUAACAUUCAAAUAUAUAUAUAAAAUGUAACAUACUUUGAAAAAAAUCAAUUCAAACAUCAAUAACAGAUCAUUAAAUAAUAAAAUCAAAACAAUAUAAUUGUUAAAAUAAUGC